rnacentral:snRNA from 1 species
UGGGCUUUCAUGAGUCGCC